rnacentral:lncRNA from 1 species
UAUUCUUCCUUGGUAAAGUCACUUGACUGCUGACAGUCUGUUUCCUGGACUAUAAAAUGAAGAUGCUAUGAAUACUGCUGAAGUGACUAACUGAUGACGUAUCAAUGUCAAACAUAAGUAUCGGUGAAAGAACUAUUUUGAAAUAAACAUCCUGGUUAAUCACUAAGGUCUAAGGAGGAAAACUGAAGACGAAGUUCAACAGACCCGUCACUAGUGGAGCCUGGCUUUCUCCUUGGAGAAAGCAGUAACCAGACUCUACCUAUUACAAUGAGAAGCUGCACUCAGGAUAAUUAUGGCUCGGUAAACCAUCAGCAUUCAGCAGGCAGUAAUUGAAAUUUCAUAGGCUCAUUAGCAGGUGGGAGAGGUACUGUGGCUGAGAGCUGCCAGCUGAGUAGAUUGUACAGUAUUGCAAUUUGUCAUAAGGCACUGUACUGCUACUAUGUUAAAAGGAAAGCAGGAAAAUAAAAGGUACUUUUUCUUAUACAAAAUGAAACACAGAA